AAGAUGGCCGCCACAGCUAAAUAUAGAACAUAGGGGUAAAAUGCAGUUUUUGGCUUAUAACUCAAAAAUUAAAGCAUAUAGAGCAAAUCUGACGGAGUGAAAUUGUUUAUCAUGUCAAGAUCUAUCUGCCCUGAAAUUUUCAGAUCCGACAACCGGUUGUUGGGUUGCUGCCCCUAAAUUGGUAAUUUUAAGGAAAUUUUGACGUUUUUUGUUAUUAUCUUGAAUAUUAUUAUAGAUAAACUGUAAACAGCAAUUAUGUACAGCAAAGUAAGACCUAAAAAUAAGUCAACAUGACCAAAAUGGUCAGUUGACCCCCUAAGGAGUUAUUGUCCUUUAUAGUCAAUUUUUAACAAUUUUCAUAAAAUUUGUAAAUUAUUACUAACAUUUUCCACUGAAACUACUGGGCCAAGAUCAUUAUAGAUAGAGAUAAUUGAAAGCAGCAAGAAUGUUCAGUAAAGUAAGAUGUACAAACACAUCACCAUCACCAAAACACAAUUUUGUCAUGAAUCCAUCUGCUUCCUUUGCUUA
rnacentral:lncRNA from 1 species